GGAAGCGGUGAAUAACGGCUUAUUCUGAAAUAAAGUUUGACAGAUUUAUUCAGGGCACCUGCAGUCGAUAAGUGAUACAUAUACACGUACUUUGCAUUAAUAGCUGCAAAAUUUGGGGGCUGGGGGGAAGGUGGGGAGCCAGUAUAAACUGUUUGGAAGAUCUGAAAGGGAAGCCUGAACUGAAAACAAGCCAAAGGUUCAGAGUUCUCAGGGCUAUGUUUGAUGGGGUCCAAACCUUUCCGGCGCUCUGAAGGAGGCUGGUAAGUCUGUGGGUGGCGAUGAUUUAUAUUGCCGGCACUUCCCCAAAAGCUUCCAGCCGCCCCACAACCCCAAUCUCCACCGGCUCCUCUGCGAACCUACGUGUAAAGAAUCUUUGGCCUCAGAUGGAGAAAACGGAGCCCAGAGAAGCAAAAUUUGUUACCCAAGAUGACGAAGCUAGUUCCCGAAAGAGGCGGGGCUGCCACCGAGACAGAAGAGGAGAUAGCCCCGCUGGGCAGAGGACUCUAUCAAAGGCCAGUAAAUUCCUCCAGGAAACCGAUCCGCCGUCAUGAGACUUCAAGCAAACCACAGAAUUUCCAGUGACAGCCCUCUUCCACCUUGAGAGAGGGCAGGCCAUUCUGCGGACCCCACCAAAGGGACUGUAGCAAGGCACGAGCACCCACCUGUUCACAGAUCAGGGCUCGGGACUAUGCGCCUGAGCCCAGGUUCCGGCCGGGCAGACACCACCCCAAGUAUCUGGAUAAAAGUCUGCAUCUGGAUGCCUGAAUUUCUCCCCUGACACACGUGCAUAGGCUCAGCAGUAAAGUUUUGGGAAAUAGCUUGAUAGGAAACUUCCAACUUCAGUCCUUAAGCUUCAAAGGUAAUCUGGACAUUUAAAGAGCGCCUUAUGAUUAAGUUUUC